rnacentral:rRNA from 1 species
UACGUAGGCACCAAGCGUUGUCCGGAUUUAUUGGGCGUAAAGAGCUCGUAGGCGGUUCGUCGCGUCGGCUGUGAAAUCCCGAGGCUCAACCUCGGGUCUGCAGUCGAUACGGGCGGACUGGAGUUCGGCAGGGGAGACUGGAAUUCCUGGUGUAGCGGUGAAAUGCGCAGAUAUCAGGAGGAACACCGGUGGCGAAGGCGGGUCUCUGGGCCGAUACUGACGCUGAGGAGCGAAAGCGUGGGGAGCGAACAGG